rnacentral:tRNA from 1 species
GGCCGGGGUGGCGGGCCGGAGCCGCGGCCGUUUCCGUGGCUGCCCAGGUCGGUGAGCAGGAACGUCGGGCGGCGGUCGCCCCGGCGCACCGGUCG